rnacentral:rRNA from 1 species
UAACAAGGAUUCCCUGAGUAGCGGCGAGCGAAAGGGGAAAAGCCCAGCGCUGAAGCCCCUGCUUUUUAAACGGAGCAGCGGGCAAUGUAGCGUAAGGGAGCGGUUUUCUUCCGCCGCGCUGCAGGAACCCAAGUCCCCCUGACUGGGGCCAUCGCCCAUGGCGGGUGCAAGGCCCCUGCGGUUCCUGUGUACGCACGGCGCGGCGGUCGGCCGUCUCUCAGGAGUCGGGUUGCUUGAAAGUGCAGCCCUAAGUGGGUGGUAAACUCCAUCUAAGGCUAAAUACUUCCACGAGACCGAUAGCAAACAAGUACCGUGAGGGAAAGUUGAAAUAGAACUUUGGAGAGAGAGUUCAAGAGUACGUGAAACCGCUCAGAGGUAAACGGGUGGGCCCUCGAAGGUCGAACAGGGGGAUUCAACCCGUCGCCAUUGGGAGCGAGCUUAGCGCGUUUGCCUGACCGAGCGCGGCUGGUGAUCGACGCGAACUCGCGGACCAAAAAAUCCUUCCGUGCACUACGGCUUUGCGAAAUUCGAUUCUCGUUCUCGGGAACUUCGAAAAAACGGAUCCAAACGAGGCUCUCCUCACGGGGAGUUCUCAGUGACCGGACCGUAGCCCACGUGCGACGGAUGGCGGCGGGCGCACUUCCCCCUCAGUAGGACGCCGCGACCGGUCGGGAAACCAAAAGUUGCAGCACUGCGGCGGGGUUCAAACGAGAGCAGGUAUCUGUUGCCGGUAGGUCCACCUCCCUUCGCGGGGAGGUUACCCAUGUGGCCCCGGUCGGAGUUAUAGCUCUUCCUCGCCGAGCGCACUGCCUCCCGACCGAACUGUAACGUCUCGAGACUGACGACGCGUGCCCGCGUUGUUGUAAAAAACAAACGCUCGCCAUCGUCUGGGCAGGCUGGGCUUCAUUGUCGGCGGACGCCGCGAACGCGGCGGUCGUUCUGGCAUUGGGCCUGCCGUUAACGCCCAACGACGAGAUCUGGCGUGGUGGCAUAGCUCGCGGUCGGCGGCGAGUAGUNNNNNNNNNNNNNNNNNNNNNNNNNNNNNNNNNNNNNNNNNNNCUAACAUGUGCGCGAGUCGUAGGGCUCUGCAAAACCCGAAGGCGCAAUGAAAGUGAAGGUUCGCGUUGGGCUGAGGAUUUCUUCGCCGUCCGAGGUGGGUUCGUCCCUCUCGGUAUGCGGGUGCUUCUCCCUCGCGUGACCAAGGCGGGAUCCCCUCCAGAGAGCAUCGGUAACUAACGGCCAUCGCGCAUCAAACAGGCCGCCGAUUGUUCACAAGAAAAUUUCUGGAGCUAAGAAUACCGGGCGGACAAAGAACCCCCGGGGGGCGCACCGCCGGCCCGUCUCGACUGUGCCUUGAAAAACGCGGGUAUCGACGACCUUUUCUCUCGCCCCUUAACAAGGCGUGUGGAUUUGGCGUGCUGACCCGGUCCGUUUCUUGGCAAACCAGUGAGGCGGAGCAAGAGCGCACACGUUGGGACCCGAAAGAUGGUGAACUAUGCCCGGGCAGGACGAAGCCAGAGGAAACUCUGGUGGAGGUCCGUAGCGAUUCUGACGUGCAAAUCGAUCGUCGGACCUGGGUAUAGGGGCGAAAGACUAAUCGAACCAUCUAGUAGCUGGUUCCCUCCGAAGUUUCCCUCAGGAUAGCUGGUGCUCGGAGAAACAGUCUCAUGCGGUAAAGCGAAUGAUUAGAGGCCUUGGGGUCGAAACGACCUCAACCUAUUCUCAAACUUUCAAUGAGUGAGACGUCUGGCUUUCUUAAAACCGAAGCCCAGACUUUGGAUGCGAGUGCCCAGUGGGCCACUUUUG